GCAUGCGGCAGCUACACAUGCAAGUCGAGCGGUAACAUUUCAAAAGCUUGCUUUUGAAGAUGACGAGCGGCGGACGGGUGAGUAAUGCCUGGGAAUAUGCCUUGAUGUGGGGGAUAACCAUUGGAAACGAUGGCUAAUACCGCAUAAUGCCUACGGGCCAAAGAGGGGGAUCUUCGGACCUCUCGCGUCAAGAUUAGCCCAGGUGGGAUUAGCUAGUUGGUGAGGUAAUGGCUCACCAAGGCGACGAUCCCUAGCUGGUCUGAGAGGAUGAUCAGCCACACUGGAACUGAGACACGGUCCAGACUCCUACGGGAGGCAGCAGUGGGGAAUAUUGCACAAUGGGCGCAAGCCUGAUGCAGCCAUGCCGCGUGUGUGAAGAAGGCCUUCGGGUUGUAAAGCACUUUCAGUCGUGAGGAAGGUUCAUACGUUAAUAGCGUAUGGAUUUGACGUUAGCGACAGAAGAAGCACCGGCUAACUCCGUGCCAGCAGCCGCGGUAAUACGGAGGGUGCGAGCGUUAAUCGGAAUUACUGGGCGUAAAGCGCAUGCAGGUGGUUCGUUAAGUCAGAUGUGAAAGCCCGGGGCUCAACCUCGGAACUGCAUUUGAAACUGGCGGACUAGAGUACUGUAGAGGGGGGUAGAAUUUCAGGUGUAGCGGUGAAAUGCGUAGAGAUCUGAAGGAAUACCGGUGGCGAAGGCGGCCCCCUGGACAGAUACUGACACUCAGAUGCGAAAGCGUGGGGAGCAAACAGGAUUAGAUACCCUGGUAGUCCACGCCGUAAACGAUGUCUACUUGGAGGUUGUGGCCUUGAGCCGUGGCUUUCGGAGCUAACGCGUUAAGUAGACCGCCUGGGGAGUACGGUCGCAAGAUUAAAACUCAAAUGAAUUGACGGGGGCCCGCACAAGCGGUGGAGCAUGUGGUUUAAUUCGAUGCAACGCGAAGAACCUUACCUACUCUUGACAUCUAGAGAAGCCAGCGGAGACGCAGUGUGCCUUCG
rnacentral:rRNA from 1 species